CACGCAGUAAACGAUGAUAACUCGUUGCCGGCGAUACACAGUCGGUGACUUAGCGAAAGCGUUAAGUUAUCCACCUGGGGAGUACGUUCGCAAGAAUGAAACUCAAAGGAAUUGACGGGG
rnacentral:rRNA from 1 species